rnacentral:rRNA from 1 species
CCUACGGGAGGCAGCAGUAGGGAAUCUUCCACAAUGGACGAAAGUCUGAUGGAGCAACGCCGCGUGAGUGAUGAAGGUUUUCGGAUCGUAAAACUCUGUUGUAAGGGAAGAACAAGUACGAGAGGAAAUGCUCGUACCUUGACGGUACCUUGCGAGAAAGCCACGGCUAACUACGUGCCAGCAGCCGCGGUAAUACGUAGGUGGCAAGCGUUGUCCGGAAUUAUUGGGCGUAAAGCGCGCGCAGGCGGCCUUUUAAGUCUGAUGUGAAAGCCCCCGGCUCAACCGGGGAGGGUCAUUGGAAACUGGAAGGCUUGAGUACAGAAGAGAAGAGUGGAAUUCCAUGUGUAGCGGUGAAAUGCGUAGAGAUGUGGAGGAACACCAGUGGCGAAGGCGACUCUUUGGUCUGUAACUGACGCUGAGGCGCGAAAGCGUGGGGAGCAAACAGGAUUAGAUACCCUGGUAGUCCACGCCGUAAACGAUGAGUGCUAGGUGUUGGGGGGUUUCCGCCCCUCAGUGCUGAAGCUAACGCAUUAAGCACUCCGCCUGGGGAGUACGGCCGCAAGGCUGAAACUCAAAGAGUAGUACGCGUGNGAGAGACGACGACGACGACGACGGAGGGAGGAGG